rnacentral:rRNA from 1 species
AAAAACAUUGCCUCUCGACUCAACAAUGAGAGGUUCAUCCUGCCCAAUGACAACAUAGUUUAAUGGCCGCGGUACCCUGACCGUGCAAAGGUAGCAUAAUCAUUUGCCCCUUAAUUAGGGGCUAGCAUGAAAGGACACACGAAAGCUUCCCUGUCUCACAAUAACAAAUAAAAAUUAAUCUUCAAGUGAAAAAGCUUGAAUGAAACUGCAGGACAAGAAGACCCCGUUGAGCUUUAUUCUCUAUAGACUAAAUCAAAUAUUAAAUAUAUCAUAAACCUAAAAAGAAUUUAGUUGGGGUGACUAAGGAACACCAAAAACUUCCUUUUAUUAAUUAGGAUUAUUCUCCAUAUAAAUUGACCCAUUACAUAUGAUCAAAAAAAUAAGCUACCACAGGGAUAACAGGCUAAUCUUUCUCAAGAGCCCAAAUUGUCAGAAAGGAUUGGCACCUCGAUGUUGGCUUAGGGGCCCCUAAUGGUGCAGAAGCCAUAAAUGGUAGGUUUGUUCAACC